GGUACACUACACAGGAACUCUAACAGGUAUAAACAUGUUACUACAGGUACACUACACAGGAACUCUAACAGGUAUAAACAUGUUACUACAGGUACACUACACAGGAACUCUAACAGGUAUAAACAUGUUACUACAGGUACACUACACAGGAACUCUAACAGGUAUAAACAUGUUACUACAGGUACACUACACAGGAACUCUAACAGGUAUAAACAUGUUACUACAGGUACACUACACAGGAACUCUAACAGGUAUAAACAUGUUACUACAGGUACACUACACAGGAACUCUAACAGGUAUAAACAUGU